rnacentral:rRNA from 1 species
GAUGAACGCUGGCGGCGUGCCUAAUACAUGCAAGUCGAGCGAACAGAUGAGGAGCUUGCUCCUCUGACGUUAGCGGCGGACGGGUGAGUAACACGUGGAUAACCUACCUAUAAGACUGGGAUAACUUCGGGAAACCGGAGCUAAUACCGGAUAAUAUAUUGAACCGCAUGGUUCAAUAGUGAAAGACGGUUUUGCUGUCACUUAUAGAUGGAUCCGCGCCGCAUUAGCUAGUUGGUAAGGUAACGGCUUACCAAGGCAACGAUGCGUAGCCGACCUGAGAGGGGACCCGCCCCCACGGAAACGAGAACAAGAACAAACCUCCACAGGAGGAAACAAUGAGGGAGUGUCCGACAAGGGAGAAAUCCCUGGAGGUAAACCCCGGGGAGGUGGAGAAAGGUAUAAGUUCCUAAAACUUCUUUUAUUGGAGAAAACAAAUUGUUAAUUGACCUAGGAGCUUUUACAGGGCCCCAAACAAAAAGACCAGAACAAACACGGGG